rnacentral:lncRNA from 1 species
AAACAUUAAAGGCAAAGAACACGGUAAAUAGUCUUUAGCUUUUUGCCUUCCUCAAUUGUUUACGCGAUUGUUGGUUCUGUUUAUCUUCUUACUGAUGUUGAUAUUCCUACUAUAGGAAGCAUAAUUCAGGUUGAUCUGCGACUAAAAGAGCAUAAGUACCGACAAGUUCUAUCCAGCAAUGUAGCUGGCUACUGUACUACAAGAACAGAUUUUGUGGUUCCUAGCUCCAGAGAUGGGCAGUUGUGUAUUUGUCCAUAGUAUCCACAACUGUUGUCAAGGAAUUGGCUCCUGGACCUCGCAAAGAGUUAUGGCAUUUCUCAUCGCAAAAGGCAGAUCUCGUUGCAGACCAGAAUGCUGAAAUAGCUUCAACUUCUAUACUCACUGAAAGUUGCUUGCUGGAUGCAGAAUCACAAUAUAAACAACUAGUUUGGGAUUGGGCUGCCGCUCCCAUUCAGAUUGAGCACCCUAAGUUUGACGAUAACUUCCUGGGAGCAAUGCAUCUGACUUAUCUAAUGCUUGCUUUGAUUAUUUGUGGAAUGGAAGAUGUUCUCUACGCCAUGUAUCAAUACUUUGCACCAAGUCAAUAACUGUAUUUUGCCAUGUACUGUGUUAUUCUAAAUUUAUUAACCUGAAUUGUCAAGAAAAUAUGUG